GGCCGGCUCACCCUGGCAGCCCGUGGGUGCUCUGGAGACUCCAGCUCCAGAGUCGCGGGCUCCGGGACUGGACUGCUGGGGGCGGGGAGGGAGGAAGACCGGCCCUUGGGACAGCUUUUCCUUGUCCUCAGGUCCUUACCCAAGCAGCCCUUUGUCGUUGGAAAAACAGAACCUGGAAGCUGUUUCCUAGCUCAUCCCAAGGACCCAGGCUCAGCCAACAGUCACUCCUGAAUCAGCCCUGAGCCACAGGUCAUUUCCAAGGAGGCACGAACUUGAGGCCAGAUACGGAGCUCGGAGAAAUCAGAUUGCAGUUAGCACCAACUGUUGCUUUAUGGCUGCACUUUUAUUUGCUUUACCCUUUCAGCUUUUCCGGCACCUGCUGGCAAUCAGGUUUCCUCCUCUCUGCCCGGAACCAUACCUCAAAUUGCUGCCCAAAUUCCGGAGCAGGGAAAAACCCGUUUAGAUACACCUGGGAGAAGAAAUGGCGAACACAUGGUGUGUGUGCGGCCUCUCAUCCUCCUGUGACCGUGGAAGACAUCAACAACCCAUACUGAUCUCAGCUUCGGAGUCUUUUCUACGUGCGGGGCACCUGGGCUGCUCAGUCGGUUAAGCGUCUGACUCUGAACUUUGGCUCAGGCCAUGAUCUCAUGGGUUCAUGAGAUUGAGCCCCACAUCGGGCUCUGAGCU